rnacentral:lncRNA from 1 species
GAUGUAUCUGCGUGUUUGCCAUGGGCUAUGUCCCAAACUAACAGUGAUGAAAAGAGUUUAAAUCAUUUUUGGUUGUGCUUUAGUGUUACGAUUCGAUUCGUCAACGAUCAACUGAAACCUCACACCACUCUCGAUCUUUGCCACUCGUUUGAAAGAAAGAUGUAAAGAAACGCAAAACAGAGACACAAGAGAUUGUUCACCCAGUGUUCGUCCUCGAUGUGAGGAGUUACUCACUGGGGCCAGAUCAAUCCUGGCAAUACACUCAGAAGAAGAAUCCAAGCUCAAUCACGAGCUACAAUGGCGAUGAGAAGAACACUUUCUCUCUCACGCUUUCUCUCUCUAUUCUGUUACAAGAAGAUGAGUCAACAACGACUCUUUUAUACCGUUGAUGAUGAUCAGACCCGCUAUCGCGACUAGAAGGUCUUCACUUGGUUUACGGCUCCCGGUACAAAUCAAGUUACUGAACCGGUCUUCAUCUUCUACUCUCAAUCCAAAUAACCGGAUACCAAAGACUUGAAUCACAAGGUAAUGUACCUUUUAACACUCCACCUUGAUUUAAGUCUUCUAAUGCUUCUGCUCUUCUUCUUCUUCCUUAUGUAUCGCCAAUCCUUGGAUUUAACCUCUGGCUAUACUGACCAUUCUCAUUAUCAACUGGUCAGUCUGAGCAGCUCUAAAGCCGCCUCAAACUUCUGCACAGGUAUGCAUUUUGUUAGCAUAUCAGCGGGGUUCCGAGAUGUAUGUAUCUUCAAUACUUCUAUCUCACCUCCUUCCACAAUGUCUCUGACAAAGCCAUACUUAACAGCCAUAUGCUUGGUACGUUCAUGAAACACUUUAUUCUUCGACAAGCUUACAGCCGAUUGCGAGUCACACCAAACUGACACCUUCUGUUGCUCAAAACCCAUUUCACAAAGUAACCCUUUAAUCCAAAUCGCCUCCUUUAUGGCUUCUGAUAAAGCAAUAUAUUCAGCUUCUGUUGUGGACAAGGCUACCACAGGUUGAAUACUCGAUCUCCAGCUCACUGUGUUCCCACCAACUGUGAAAACAUAACCACUUGUAGACCUCUGUUUAUCCAAAUCACCACCAAAAUCAGAAUCUGUGUAGCCUUGAACUCUAAGACCAGCGUCACCUUUUGUAUAGAUCAGGUUUAGAUCAGCUGAACCUCUUAAGUACCUCAGUAACCACUUCACAGCCUCCCAAUGAAUACUUCCAGGUUUGCUCAUGAAGCGACUCACCAGUCCAAGAGCAUAAGCCACAUCUGGUCGAGUCCCAACCAUUGCAUACAUCACACUCCCAACAGCACUCAAAUAAGGGACCUUCUCUGUAUCUAUACGUUCAUCAGCAUUCUUCACUGAAGCAAGCUUAAAAUGAGAUCCCAUAGGCGUAGCAACCGCUUUAGACUCAGACAUUCUGAACCUUUUAAGGACCUUCUGGAUAUAUCCUGAUUGACACAGCUUCAAUGUAUCUUGUUCCCGGUCACGUUUAAUGUCAAUCCCAAGUAUUCUACUUGCCGGCCCCAUAUCUUUCAUCUCAAACUCACUACUCAAAACAUCUUUCAACUUCUGAAUCUCAGACUUCUGCUUGGCAGCCAAGAGCAUGUCAUCGACAUACAACAGGAGAUACACAUAGUCUUCUGGACCAACUUCCUUGAUGUACACACACAAGUCGGAAUCGCUUCUGAUAAAACCCUGAGACACCAGAAACGAAUUGAACCGUUUGUUCCAUUGUCUUGGAGCUUGCUUCAGCCCAUACAAUGACUUUUUGAGUAAGCAGACUUGGUCUUUACCAGGAUUUACUUCAAACCCUUCAGGCUGUUCCAUGUAUAGCUCUUGCUCAAGAUUACCGUGUAAGAAAGCUGUUUUCACAUCCAUUUGUUCCAACUCCAAAUCAUGAUUCACAACUACUGACAUUAGUACUCGAAUUGAUAUGUGUUUUACCACUGGUGCAAACACUUCUUCAUAAUCAAUUCCCUCUCGUUGAGUGAACCCUCUAGCCACAAGUCUUGACUUGUGCCGUGGAUCUUCCACCCCUGGGAUUCCAGGCUUCUUCUUAUACAGCCAUCUGCAUGAUAUCACAGUUUUAUUCUUGGGUCUAUCAACAAUAUCCCAUGUAUCAUUCUUCUUGAGUGACUCAUACUCAUCAGUCAUGGAGCCAUUCCACAACACCCAAUCUUUUGCCUUCAAAGCAUCGUGAUAGCAGCCAGGUUCCUCUGACUCAAUCUCCUCUGCAGCUACUAAUGCACACGCAAUGUUCGAGUAGUCUGCCAUCCAAGCUGGUGGAACAGGUUCUCUUCUGCUGCGAUCUUUGGCUAGUUGGUAACUUGCCAAAUCAACCACAUCUUCAGCUGCUGUAUCCUCAACAUCUGAUGUAGGCACAUCCUCUGUAUGAGUUGUAUCGGAUGUAGAAGCUCCACCUUCUCCAGUGUCAUCACUCUCCACAGACUUGUUCUGUACUGUCUCAGGUAGACUGUGUUGAGUGACAUUCUGCUCAACUUCCUGAGCCUCUUGUACUUGACCACUUACUUCCCUGAACAUCUUUUGUUCUUGAAAUACUACAUUGCGACUAAUAACACAAUCUUCAGUAUCCAGUAGCCAGAUCUUGUAUCCUUUUGUACCUUGAGGAUAACCAAGAAAUACACCUUUUAAGGCUCGAAGCUUUAACUUCCCUUGAUCCUGAUAGACAAAGGCUAGAGACCCAAAACGCUUCAUGUGUUGAUAGCCGGGCUUUCUCCCUAACCAGACCUCUUCAGGAACAUUGUGAUCGAUUGCAGUGCAUGGUGAUCGAUUCACAAUAUAAGCAGCUGUUGCUGCAGCUUCAGCCCAAAACUCCUCACCCAAGCCUGAUUCACUUAACAUACAACGCACCUUCUCCAUCACUGUUCUGUUCAUCCUCUCAGCAACUCCAUUUUGCUGAGGAGUAUAGGUACAGGUUCGAUGACGUUCUAUUCCCUGCUUCCUGCAAUAUUCAUCGAACUUCCGGUUACAAAACUCCAAACCGUUGUCGGUUCUCAACACUUUAACCUUCUUGUUAACUUGAUUCUCCACAAGUUCCUUCCAUUCACAAAACCUCUCAAAGGUUUCAUCUUUUGUCUUUAGAAACAUAAGCCAAACUUUCCUGGACUUAUCGUCAAUAAUCGACAGGAAAUAGUGUUUUCCUGAGAGAAAUGCAGUUACAUUUGGAGAUCCCCACAAGUCUGCAUGAACGUAGCCUAGAACAUCUUAUGUGUUAUGCUUUCCCACAUUGAAGCUCAGUUUCUUGGACUUCCCAAGAACACAAUGUUCACAGAAACUCAAGUCUGUGAUCUCUUUCUUUGCAAUCAGACCUUUACCAACUAGAGUCUUCAGGCUAUUCAAGUUCAUGUGGCCAAGCCUGCUAUGCCAUAGAGCCGUCUUGCUUAACUGAACUUCCAAAUUACAGUUUUCACUUGCUUCAGUUCCACCAUCAAGUAAGUACAACCCAUUCUUCAGAAUUCCACGCAACGCCAACUUCUCAUUCUUGAAGAAACUCAGUAUACCAUCUCCACCUUGAUGAGAAUACCCCAGCUUAUCAAGUGUUCCAGUAGAGAUCAGGUUUCUCCUGAGAUUUGGAACAUAUCUGACAUUCUUUAGUACUUUGAUAGUACCACCAUUCGUGUUAAUCCUGACUGUGCCAUAGCCUUUUGAUUCCACAGUAUGAUCAUCUCCAAGUAGAAUCAUCAUAGGAUCCUUCUCACAGAAGUCAAGCAACCAUUCCUUGUGAGAAGUCAUAUGAAAUGUGCAGCCUGAAUCAAUAACCCACUGACUCUUUGCAUCCUGAUGAUCUACAUUCAGUGCUUCUGUGAAUACUAACUUCUCAGUUAUAACCCCUGCUUCUCCCUGAUCAUCCCCUUCACUCUGUUUCCUAGCAAAGCAAUCCUUCUUGAUGUGUCCUUCUUUCUUGCAAAACCAGCAAGUCAACCGAGACUUAGAGUUAGAUCUUCCUCGACCUUUCCUGCUCUUAGAGUCUUUAUAACUUCUAGACCCUGAUCUUCCUCUGUCAUUAGAGUACAGUGCUGAACCACCAGAGUCACGUUCUGACUUUGACUCAGUGACUUCACGUUCCCUUGAUCUUGCUGCUGAUAUGACCUCUUCAAGAGAUAGUGACUCUCUUCCAUACUUCAGCGUAUGUUUUAGUUGAUCAAAGUUUGUAGGCAGUGAGGUAAGCAAUAGUAUCGCUUGUACUUCAUCUGAUACUUCCACCUGCAAACUUCCUAGCUCUGCAACAAUCUUCAAGAAAUCAUCCACAUUUUGAUCUAUGCUUUUAGACUCAGCCAUCUUGAAGGUGUAAAACUUCAGCUGCAGAUGUAUACGGUUAGGCAAGGAACUUUCCAUAUACAGAUGAUUCAAUAGAGCCCAGAUCUCAGCAGCAGACGCAUCUGCAUUGAUCUUACGAAGAACCUUAUCACCAAGAUUCAUCACUAUGAGAUUCUUCGCUUUCUCCGAUUUCUCAAUCUUCGAAGGAUCAGGAACAUUCUUUACCAGAGGUUCUGAUGAUGGCUUCUCAUCGCCAUCAACCUGCGCUUGUUUCUCUUCGCUCUUCGAUAACGGAACUUGCUUUUCCAGCUUCGGAUCUGUAAGGACCUCUUUCAAGCCGAGAUAACCGAGAUGCGCCAUCAUCCUUAUCUUCCAUAAGGAGAAAUCUCCGGUUCCGUCAAAGAUUCCGAUGAUCGGAUUCUUCAUCGGGUUGAUCAUUGAGCCUGCGCUCUGAUACCACUUUGUUACGAUUCGAUUCGUCAACGAUCAACUGAAACCUCACACCACUCUCGAUCUUUGCCACUCGUUUGAAAGAAAGAUGUAAAGAAACGCAAAACAGAGACACAAGAGAUUGUUCACCCAGUGUUCGUCCUCGAUGUGAGGAGUUACUCACUGGGGCCAGAUCAAUCCUGGCAAUACACUCAGAAGAAGAAUCCAAGCUCAAUCACGAGCUACAAUGGCGAUGAGAAAAACACUUUCUCUCUCACGCUUUCUCUCUCUAUUCUGUUACAAGAAGAUGAGUCAACAACGACUCUUUUAUACCGUUGAUGAUGAUCAGACCCGCUAUCGCGACUAGAAGGUCUUCACUUGGUUUACGGCUCCCGGUACAAAUCAAGUUACUGAACCGGUCUUCAUCUUCUACUCUCAAUCCAAAUAACCGGAUACCAAAAACUUGAAUCACAAGGUAAUGUACCUUUUAACAUUUAGCCUUCCACCGCUUCGGCUUUAUGGGGAUUCUCUUGCGCCUAUGUCGUGGUACUACGAGGGUACAUUCAAUACAUUUCGUUUAUUUGGUUGGCAAAUAGGAUUUUGUCACAUUACCAAAAUGGUAACGCAGCUUCAGCAGGUUCGGUUCUACCUCAUUUAUUUGCUAUGUAUUUGGUAAUGGCCAUAUCCUCUAACCAAUUGAACAUUCCUAGUGUUAUUAAUUCUGCCUUUUCGAGGUUUAUGUGCAACAUGUAAAAGCUUGUAUUCGACCUAUCGAUAAAAUUAACAGUCAAAACAACUCGUUAAAUUCAUGUGUUGGGCG